CCCUUAGAUGUUCUGGGCCGCACGCGCGCUACACUGACUACUUCAACGAGUUGUUUCCUUGAUCGAAAGGUCUGGGUAAUCUUUGAAAGGUAGUCGUGAUGGGGAUAGAUCCUUGCAAUUUUUGGUCUUCAACGAGGAAUUCCUAGUAAACGCAAGUCAUCAACUUGCAUUGAUUACGUCCCUGCCCUUUGUACACACCGCCCGUCGCACCUACCGAUUGAAUGGUCCGGUGAAGCCUCCGGAUUGGCGCGCACCUCGGUGCCGCCGAGAAGUUGGCUAAACCUUACCAUUUAGAGGAAGGUGAAGUCGUAACA
rnacentral:rRNA from 1 species